rnacentral:rRNA from 1 species
AUUGAACGCUGGCGGCAGGCCUAACACAUGCAAGUCGAACGAGUGGCGGACGGGUGAGUAAUGUCUGGGACUCUGACUGAUGGAGGGGGAUAACUAACGGAAACGGUAGCUAAUAACGUACUCCAUCAGCUGUGCCCAGAUGGGAUUAGCUUGUUGGUGGGGUAACGGCACACCAAGGCGACGAUCCCUAGCUGGUCUGAGAGGAUGACCAGCCACACUGGAACUGAGACACGGUCCAGACUCCUACGUGAGGCAGCAGUGGGGAAUAUUGCACAAUGGGCGCAAGCCUGAUGCAGCCAUGCCGCGUGUAUGAAGAAGGCCUUCGGGUUGUAAAGUACUUUCAGCGGGGAGGCGUUACCCGCAGAAUAAGCACCGGCUAACUCCGUGCCAGCAGCCGCGGUAAUUC